AUUGAACGCUGGCGGCAUGCCUUACACAUGCAAGUCGAACGGCAGCACGGGAGCUUGCUCCUGGUGGCGAGUGGCGAACGGGUGAGUAAUACAUCGGAACGUACCCUGAAGUGGGGGAUAACGUAGCGAAAGUUACGCUAAUACCGCAUAUUCUGUGAGCAGGAAAGAGGGGGAUCGCAAGACCUCUUGCUUUAGGAGCGGCCGAUGUCGGAUUAGCUAGUUGGUGAGGUAAAGGCUCACCAAGGCGACGAUCCGUAGCGGGUCUGAGAGGAUGAUCCGCCACACUGGGACUGAGACACGGCCCAGACUCCUACGGGAGGCAGCAGUGGGGAAUUUUGGACAAUGGGCGCAAGCCUGAUCCAGCCAUGCCGCGUGAGUGAAGAAGGCCUUCGGGUUGUAAAG
rnacentral:rRNA from 1 species